CAAUCUAAAACUAAACCCUAAUGGACUACUAUAAAUACAUAGCAAACACUCACAAUUCUACAUUUCUAUUGCUAAACAGAUUUAAAAUAUGGAGCCAGUUCUGAAUUCACUUGAUGCGAAAAAACAAGCAUGCGAUAUUGAAAAAUCUAAGGAUGAUGGUGAUAAUAGUGUUGAAAUUAUUUCUUAUGGUGCAAUGUUCAGUCCAUACAAGUCUAAGCUUCAACGUCAAUUUAGUGAAGAGGAUCAGAAGUAUGAGAAUCAAAAGAAAAGAUCUAAGAGACUCUCUGAAUGAAAAUGGGUCGAGGUUAUAAAUUUAGAUGAUUCUGAGGACGAUGAGAAAGAAGAUGAAUUAGAUGAUACUGUUGAUUCGAGCACAAACAAGAAAAACGGAUCA